CGUAGCAGAAGCAAACAAACAAACUUUAAAGUUUUGUUUUUGCAAUUACCAACACAAUUGCUGUUGGGAAGGCGCCAAAAAUGCGAUCGCCCCCUCCUCCUACGUGUGCUGCAAACAAUUAUAGGCCACCGAAGCCUGGUGAGACGUCGGCGGGAUCAAACUACAACCACAGUGUGGCGCGCGGAUUCCAGUUCACAAACGAUGCGACGAGGGAAAACACAACCGCACUUGACAAAAGGAAAACUGUGUGUCUCUAUAAGUGUAUGUGGAUGUAGAUAGCAGGAAAUAAUACGUGUGUCAAACAUCCCACAAUGAUAAACGAGCACAUACCCAGCAUAACAUUUCGACAGCGACCAUUUUCAAAAUUCAAGAAUAUUCGUUUUAAAUAUAUUAUUUCAAAUGAAGACAACUUUAAGAGUGAGAAAGAUAUAAAAAAUACUUAUGUAUAAGCAAUAACAGAAAAAGAAAUAA